GACUAGGCAUAAUUGGGCUGCCUGGGAAUAUGAGGGGAUAAGUCUGCAUGAGCCAAAAACUGUCAAGAAGUUGGAACCUACAGGGAGCAAGCAUGGGAAGGAAUUCCUCUGUGAAGGCGUCUGGGGGCAGAUGAAGAUCUCUUGGCGGAAGGAAGAUCUCUAAUCUCCUAUAGAAUACAGCCAGCGGAGGGGGUGGCCGUUUGCACCAGCAGAGUGGUGCCAUCAAGCCCAUGGAUUCAGGCAUUGGAGUAAUGAAAGAUAUUCUGCAUUAUACCAGAGAGGAGCUCUGGGGCAAGACAAGCUGAUCUUAUUCUGACUUUUAAGCAAGCUGAAGAGACCAUGCCUUCCACAUGAAAGAAACCAGAGAGGUUGGAAUAUCCAAAAUAUUGAGGUUUUUUGUUUUGUGACAUGUACUGCUCCUAACUUGAAAGUAAUACGAAUAAAUGCUGGAAAAGACUUCUUGAAAUAAAUUCUUACAGCUUCAAACAAGUACACUAAA